GACACGGAUAUUCUCAUGGUCAUGCAGUCAGGCUACCAACGGCAGCGAGUGUGAACAUUUGUCUUUAGACCAGUAUGAACUACUCGGUAGAUGGCUGCAUGGUAGCGCUGGAUACUCUGGGUACUCUAUUGUUCUUGUUCAUCUUUAAGAAUGGACUGAUAUAUUUAAUGUUCUCUAAUUACUGUCAGAAAUAUCUAUUUUCUUAGCAUGGCAAGAAACAGAAGAUAACGAAUAAGUAGGAAUGUAUGAUACAAACUUCUGAGCAUACAUUCUUCGAUAGGAAUUGUAUGAUGUGAUCUGUAUAGGUAUCGACUUGGUGUUUCGCCAUUUCUAAGUUAAGAUAUUUGUGUGACAUACUGUUAGCAGUACAUUUCUAAUGCUGUUUUGGCCUGAAUCAUCAAUUCUGUUGUACGUACUUCGAGUAUUUAUGUGCGGUUAUAAUAUCUGAAGCUCUGGACAUUGCAGAAAAAGGAGGCACCUGCUUGGCGAAAGCUAGCGCCUAUGGCGAAAUUCUAAAUUCAGAAUAUAUGACUGGACUACUUGAGGCUUUUGCAUAGUUUUCUACUGGCAGUUGUUCAACAAUUUACAGCUAGCAUUUUAAGAAAGAGUAUUUGUAUGUCUGCAUCUUCAGCCCUGUUUCUUCUGUUUUAUGUCAAUGCAAGAUCUUACAAUUUAAAAUGAGGUAAUUGACGCAUACUUUCGAAUUCCUUAAGGAGGUUGAGGUAUGCAAUAUUUGUCAUGUCCGAGUUGAAAUGAAACAAUGCCUUUCACUUAGCUGUAUUUGUGUCAUUAUGCUACGUGCUCAUUCAGAUUCUUGCUCAUCAAAGAAUCAUUCGAACCAAAUGCUGAAUCUUGAUAACGCCUUUCAGUUGUACGAUC
rnacentral:lncRNA from 1 species